ACGGCUGCGAGCUGGAGGCGGUGCCCGAGUUCGAGGGGCUGCAGGAUUUCUGCCAAACCUUCCCCCUCUACAAACCGGGCCGUCCCCGCUCGGCCGCGCAGCCCCCGGAGCCCGUGGCCAACUUCAAGGGGCUUUUCCGCAUCUACCCCGUGCCCGAGGAGGCCGGGCCGGGCCCCGCCGUGCCCCGCUACUUCCAGCGGCUGCCGCCCCGCGAGCCCCAGCGGUGCCUGCUCCGCGUCUACAUCGUGCGAGCCUUCGAGCUGUCCCCCCGCGAUGUCACCGGGCUGAGCGAUCCCUACGUGCGGGUGUCGCUGGGGAAGAGGACGCUGGGACAGAGGGAGCAGUACGUGCCCAACACCCUGGAGCCCGUGUUCGGCAGG